GAUAAAAGUUCCUCACCGAGAGAAGCCAGGUGGAGAAAACCUACAGCCACAAAGCCAAACUGCUGACAAACUAAAGUCACCUGAUUUAAUCAGCUAAGGAGGAUAAUUGAUUUCGCCCUGGUUUGGUUGAGUCAAGCAGGUGACAUGGUUGUGCAACAGAUAUUGUUGCCAGCUCAUCCCCCAGGGUUCUCGGUUCGAUCCAGAGCUUGGGUUACAGCCCGUGUUUUUCAUGUUCUUUUGCCAUGUUGUCUGCUUUCCUCCUUGAACAUUCUGGUAGGUGUAUAAUUUAUACUCAAUUGCCCCUAGGUGUGUGCAUGCAUAGUGCCCUUCAAUGACCUACUGUCCCAUCCUGGGAAUGUCCCUGUUUAACACUAAGUAUACUGGGCAUAGCCUCCAUAUCCACAGAGGCUCUGAACAGGGUAAAGCCUUUACUAAAAAUGGAGGAUGAAUAAAUGAUUAUUCAGACAAACUGUUUAGCAGAUGCCUAAUUAUUUCUUCCAUUUUUAUCUAUUAUUAUCUAUGAUUGGCUAGGUAUAUAAAAAGAUCUAAAUAUUAUCUCAAACUUUCAUAUUUCCUCUGAAUGUGUGUGUGUGUGUGUGUGUGUGUGUGUGUGUGUGUGUGUGUGUGUGUG